rnacentral:lncRNA from 1 species
AUUUGAUUGUCUUCUAAGUACAAAAUUUUGCUUAUAAAUGCCAAUAUAAUUCUUUUACAUGUUUUAAAAAAUUCAAUCCAAUUCAACUCAUAAAUUGUGUAAAAACAUCCAAAACUGCACUAAUGUCACUCAGCUAUUAACUCAAAAGUUCAUGUAGAUGUUCCAAUAGCAAAUUUUCGUUCUUCAACUAUUAACUUCAGCUCAAAAUUGGUAUUUAGCUUGAUCUUUAAGUCCUAUAAUACCAUGAAAAAUUUCACCUUGUUCCAAUUAGUAGAUCUUUAGAUAUUAUAGAAAUCCCACCUAACUUCAAAUUACCAACUUUUAAUACCCUCUUAUACUAAAAACUACAUAUCU